CAGGCGCCCGCCACCGCCAUGCCCGGCUAAUUUUUUGUAUUUUUUAGUAGAGACGGGGUUUCACCGUGUUAGCCAGGGUGGUCUGGAUCUCCUGACCUCAUGAUCCGCCCACCUCGGCCUCCCAAAGUGCUGGGAUUACAGGCGUGAGCCACCGCGCCUGGCCGUGAUUUUUAUCUAGAAAAAAAAAUGAGGCUCUUUCGGUGUCAGCCUUGACACUUUGCUUGACCUCUUUGUGCUAUUCUCACUGUCUCAGAGGCCGUGGGCCCUCAGAUGCUGUGGUUACGUCAAGCUCACUCUGCUCUGCAGCUGAGCUAUUUUACAUUAAGAAGCAGAUGGUGUGGAAGCCUGGCACAGGCCUUUCGGUCCAAACGGCACUCUUUGAUUCAGAACCUGCAGAAAAGUAGGCCCACAGCCAAGCCAUUGAGAGACAAGUCCAUGGGAGACAAAUUAGCUCAUGCAGCUGAGAUGUCCUGGAGAUUUUCCACAGCACCACUUGGCCAGUGCCUAGACAAGGCUUCCGAGGCGAUCCGGCAACAUCAGUCUUCAGCCGCUAAGCCAAGAAGAUCUGGGAAGGAGUCAAUCAGAGAGCCUUGGGCCAGAGUUCCAGGGGCUGUGGAAGUGGCUGCCAGGUGAGUUGAACAGUCCGAUUUUCAGUGGGGUCCUACACAGAUGGGACACAGCUUAGGAGGAAUCCUGGGCUGUGGGCAUUCCUUGGCCUAGUGGCCAGAUUUCUGGCACUUGUAGCAAGCUCCUGGGGGAGGAGGUUCUGGAGGAACCCCUGGCAGCUGCGGUUUGGGCGUUUGGAGUUCUUGUGUGCUGGAGAUGUGGCUGGGGUUUGUCUCACAGUGGAGGCAAGAAAUUGCAACUCAGAAAUACAUUGCUACUUGGCUGCCUCUACUCUAUUAUUGUAUAACUUGAAGGUGAGGUUAAUUAAGUCCUGUUGUGAGGUUUGAGGGCCGGAAUUUAAUUUUUGGAGUUUUAUUUAAUGUCAGGAGCGGAUUGGGUAAUAAAAUGUAUAUUGAGAAUAAGACGGCCUUUUGACAUUUUAGGGUCUUGGGCUGUAAAGCGUCUCAGGGUUGCUGCCGAACGAGCCAUGAACUGGGCUGGGUUUUUCAUAUUUGAUGAAAGAGCCUAAAUGCUAACUGAUUUGGGAGAGGUCGGAUAAAGAAAAAGAAGCAUUAACCUUGACUAUGCCUUUAGCUCCAGCCUCCUUUUUAAGAGGAAAUUGCUGGUCAGGUGGAGGAGGGCUAGUCGCGUCGCGGAACGAAACUAUAAGCCGGACUGGGUGUGAGGAGGGGAGGUGAUAAAAGGAUUAUAGGGUGGGGGAGCAGAGGCUGAGGAAGAAUUGGGACCUGGCUUGACCUGGCUUGGCCUGGCGAGGAGCAGCCUGGGGAGGAGGAGAGAGGUCAGAUGGGUCUGUAGAAAAGGAAGAUUAGAAAGACUCAGCGACGCUUGGGGUUGGGACUGAGAGGACAGGCGGGAGGGAAAGAAGGAGGAUUUGGGAUGAGUCACAUUGGGAACAGAGAGUACGGAGAGAACAAUGUGUAAAAGAAUGCCUGGACGUCAGGCACCUCAGACCAUUUGCCCAUUUUACGACAAGAAUUAUCGAGAUCUUGUGGGAUGGAAAAAUCGAAAGUGCCGUUCUGUGGCUAUUUUAGAGCCUUUGUCAAGUUUGUAUUGGGGCCAAGCGGUGUUGCAGAAUAAAAUAAGAUGCUUAGAUUUUAGGUCAGGCGAGAGUUGAAGAGGUUUUAAGUUCUUAAGAACACAGGCUAAGAGAGAAGAAGGAGGAAUGGAGGGUGGAAGGUUGCCCAUAGUGAAGGAGGCAAGUUUAAAGAGAAGGGUAGAGACACGGAGAAGGGGGUGGGGAGCAGCCCUGGGCUGCAACGUGGGUGAGCAGCCAAAGCAGGCGUCCUUGCAAUUGACUUGCCACCAAGGGAACAUGGGCGAAUGAUCAAGGAAGGCACCCCUGCGGAGAUCAGACACCAGUGGAACGUGGGUGAAUAAUCCAAGAGGCAUCUCGGCGAUGAUUAAACACCAAGGUAAGGCUGUCUUCCCGAGUCCGUGACCGGCGCCGGAGUUUUGGGUCCACAGAUAAAAUGUGUCUCCUUUGUCUCUACCCGAAAAUGAAAGGAACUGAAAUUAACAGAAGGGAGAGAUUGAAGUGUGGCGCCAAGCUUGAAAGGAGAAAGAGGUUGAGGGAUAGUGAGGGAGGUUGGAGAAGAGAGUAAAAAGAGGCCGCUUACUGGAUUUGAAAUUGGUGAGAUGUUCCUUGGGCUGGUCAGUCUGAGGACCUGAGGUUGUAGGUGGAUCUUUCUCAUGGAGCAAAGAGUAGGACAGGGGAUUGAUCUCCCAAGGGAGGUCCCCUGAUCCCAGUCACGGCACCAAAUUUCACUCGCGUCCGUGUGAAGAGACCACCAAACAGGAUUUGUGUGAGCAACAAGGCUGUUUAUUUCACCUGGAUGCAGGCGGGCUGAGUCUGAAAAGAGAGUCAGUGAAGGGAGAUAGGGGUGGUGCCGUUUUAUAGGAUUUGGGUAGGUAAAGGAAAAUUAGUCAAAGGGGGUUGUUCUCUGGCUGGCAGGAGUGGGAGGUCACAAGGUGCUCAGUAGGGGAGCUUUUGAGCCAGGAUGAGCCAGGAGAAGGAAUUUCACAAGAUAAUGUCAUCAGUUAAGGCAGGAACAG
rnacentral:lncRNA from 1 species